CGGGGGUCACGGCCCACCUUGAAGACCCACGUGGAAGUAGUAUGAUGAGAGAGGCUGGAGUUUGGAGACAGAGGUCUGAGAAGCCAAGGCUUCUCAUCCCCUUUCUAACUUCCCCAGAAGCCAAGGUGGGCCUCUGCUCAUUUCAUUCUGCUCAGGUGUCUUUACCCACCCUGGAGGACUCAAACCUCAGGACAUCUCUGGGGGCUUGGAGCCCAGCUCUUAGUCACCUUCCAAUUGGGUAACCCUGGGGCAGGGUAGUGAACCCCUCUGGGCCUCAGUAAGAUGUAGACAGUAACACCUACCCCAUAGGCCUUGUGAUUUGUGAACACAUCUUAAUAGGGCUCUCCCUGCCUGGAAGGCAGAGGUGGGGCUCCUCACCCUUCCCCCUUUUUUACUCCUCAGGAAGGAUUUGAGGGUGGGUUAAAUUGGGUCCUACUUUAUCCCAUGCCUGGAAGAGAUGGUCUGUGAUCUGGCUUUUGAAGGAUGCGUAGGAGCCUGCCCCAUGAACACAGUCCAAAGGACAUCCCAGGGAGAAUGAAAAUGAAAAGCUUAUCUCCAUCCUAUGAAAGAUGGAGAUUGUAUGACCCACAGGUGACUGAUGAGCAGUUCCAUGUGACAGCACAUGGGCUGGGAGAGGAGGCUGGAGAGGUUGGCAGAGCGCAGCGGUGGGUAACUUUGGGCCAUUCUAAGGGGUCUGGGUAUAUGUAACGUUCGUGAAGCACCUUAUGCCUGCUAACUUCCGUGUUUCUGCUUUCCUGCCUCUGGUUGGCUGGAAAUAACAACAGGUAACACAAAGGCUGGUUCUGGGCCAUGCAGCAUGCUGCUAAAUGCUCUUCAGGCCUUAUCUUGUCAAACAUUCACAGUGACCUUAAGAAAUGGAUCCUACUUCUAUCCCCAUUUUACAGAUAAGGAAACUGAGGCUCAGAGAGUAAGAACAAAGAACUAUGUAGCAUGGACUAUGGGCCAGGCACUAAUUCUGAGUAUUUUACAUAAAUUAACCCAUUUAAUGGUCACAGCAGCGCCGCGGUCCAGGUGCUAUCUUCAGGCCCACCUUAUAGAUGUGGAAGCCCGAGGCCCAAGUUUUCUGGGCUGGUGCCUGUGUUCACAGUCUUAUAAUUAUGAAAUUGGGCGUGGGCCUGAAUUUCGGGUGCCUGUGCAGACCCUGUUGACAUCAACCCAAUCCCCUGGGGAUGGGUGUUGGUUCAGCUCGCUUUCACCAAGCCACACCCGGCCAGGAUGUGCGGGUGGCUGGGGACCCACUCAUCUGUGAGGGUCUGGCAAGCGGCAGCAUCUGCAACUGUGCGGUCAGGGCCCGGAGGGGUGGCUCAGAGGAGGCAUGGCCCCAGCUGAACUUUACUGAGUGCUCUGAAUCCCCACUAGGCUCUGUCCGUGCCCCCCUCCUCACAGGGGACAAAGAUGCUGAGAGCAGAGUUUAGGCAUCUUGCCUGAGGGCACCUGUGCCUCAGAGGGAUUGAGCCAGGUCCCGCCCUCAGCUACAAGCUGCCUUCUUGAAGGCUGAGGCCGCCGCGAUGCCGCACUUCCUGGACUGGUUCGUGCCCGUCUACCUGGUCAUCUCAGUGCUCAUCCUGGUGGGCUUCGGCGCCUGCAUCUACUACUUCGAGCCUGGCCUGCAGGAGGCGCACAAAUGGCGCAUGCAGCGCCCCCUGGUGGACCGUGACCUCCGCAAGACUCUGAUGGUCCGCGACAACUUGGCCUUCGGAGGACCAGAGGUCUGAGCUGACCCGCGCCGGUGGCCGGUGGCGGGCACCGGGCUCCCUCCCCUGCUUCGCCCAGCCUGGAGACCCUGAGGCAGAGAGAGGACAACCCGUGGUCCUCCAGGCCAUCCCUCUGCUUCCUGGACCCUCCCAGCAGAGGCUUCCGGGCGCUCCGGGUGGACCCUGGCUGCACCUGUUGAGAUGGGGCACCUGGGUACCUUGAGGUGUCACUGCUGCUGGCCCAGGGCUUGCUUUCCACAUCAAGCCAGUUCACCCCACACCUGCCCUCCUUGGCUCUGGGUUUAAUCCCCCACUGACCCCCAGUGCCUUUGUGCUGCCCAGCACUCUUGCCCCUCACCUGGAGGGAGGCACCGCUGCCCCUGCUUGUCCUGAACCUCGACAGUCACACUUCCCCACUGAAUCCCUGGUGACGCUCAGCGGCCCCCGCCACCCAAGGCACCCACCCUGCAGCUUCACACGGCCGACUUCAAAGCGGACCCAAGGAAAAGGCCCUAUUUGGAGGGGCGUCUGCUUGGUCCAGCCCAGUCCCACCCCUCUGGACUCAGGCUUGGCAUUGAUCAGAGUGUGUGAUGGGGUGGCAGAGGGGUAAGAUCCAAGAGGAAGGAGGGUGUGUGUAUGUGUGUGUGUGUGUGUGUGAGAGAGAGAGAGAGUGUCUGGGGGGAGAGGAGAGGCAUGUGGGGAGGGGGAGAUGCAGGUCUGUAUGUGUGAGAGGCAGAGUGGGAGGUGGUGGAAUAGGGCGAGCUUGUGAGUAGCCCCGGAGACCACCAGGAGCAGUUCCUACCUCCCUUCCUCUGCUAGACUUUUCUGUCUCUCCCCUUCCCCAAGGCCCCUGCCCUCCAGUCCCUCCCUGCCCUGUACCGCACCUUCAGGUACUGCAUGCCCCCAGCACCCCUUCCCACCCCCCAGCCCCACCAGGGAGCCCUCCUCCUGUGUGACUGGCAGCCAGCCUCACUCUCCUCCUCUGGAGCUCCCCUCUUAGUUUCUUGCAAUAAUAAAGACUUCAUGACCAUUUU